rnacentral:rRNA from 1 species
GAGAAUCUGGCAAAAGGUUCGGGACAACAGUUGGAAACGACUGCUAAUACCGGAUGUGCCUGUGGGUGAAAGAUUAAUCGCCUUUUGAUGAGCUCGCGUCUGAUUAGCUAGUUGGUGUGGUAAGAGCGCACCAAGGCGACGAUCAGUAGCUGGUCUGAGAGGGUGACCAGUCACACUGGGACUGAGACACGGCCCAGACUCCUACGGGAGGCAGCAGUGGGGAAUUUUCCGCAAUGGGCGAAAGCCUGACGGAGCAAUACCGCGUGAGGGAGGAAGGCUCUUGGGUUGUAAACCUCUUUUCUCAGGGAAUAAGAAAGUGAAGGUACCUGAGGAAUCAGCAUCGGCUAACUCCGUGCCAGCAGCCGCGGUAAUACGGAGGAUGCAAGCGUUAUCCGGAAUGAUUGGGCGUAAAGCGUCCGCAGGUGGUUGCUCAAGUCUGCUGUCAAAGAGUCUGGCUCAACCAGAUAAAGGCAGUGGAAACUGAGAGACUAGAGUGCGGUAGGGGCAGAGGGAAUUCCUGGUGCAGCGGUGAAAUGCGUAGAGAUCAGGAAGAACACCGGUGGCGAAAGCGCUCUGCUGGACCGCAACUGACACUGAGGGACGGAAGCUAGGGGAGCGAAUGGGAUUAGAUACCCCAGUAGUCA